AGAGCUGGAUGCCUCCCACGGAGAGCGUCCCUUCCAAGCGGCCCCGGAGUGGAGUGGAGUGGAGUGGAUAGGGGUAGACUUUUCACACGGGGACAAAUUAUUACAGGAUAUCUGCGCCCCCUGUUCCGAGUCACUCGGGGCCAUCGGUUACUUCAGCAGGUUCUCUGCAUCACGGACCCUUUUGAGGCUCAGGAAUUUACCAUGGAAAUUAUUGGCCAUAAUUGUUGGUGACACUAUCAAACUCAUAGUCACUCUAUAACGAUGUAAGUCCAGAAAACAGCCAUAAUAAUAAUGUCCUGAUUGAUAUUUAGAGCUAAAAGAAGUGGAAAGAGUUAUUUCAAUUUACCCUUCACCUGGUACUUCAGUGUUAAGUGGUUAAAUAAUUCCACAAAAAAUAAACACUCUUAAUCUUCUUCAGUCUAUAUAAAUUCUUACUCUAUACUGUGAACCUAGGAAAGCUGUGGAUGGCCUCAAGAUCAGAUUGCCAGUUUAGCAAGUAAAAAACUACAAGGCUGGGCGCGGUGGCUCACACCUGUAAUCUCAGCACUUGGGAGGCCGAGGCGGGUGGAUCACGAGGUCAGGAGAUCGAGACCAUCCUGGCUAACACGGUGAAACCCCGUCUUUACUAAAAAUACAAAAAAUUAGCCCGUGGUGGCGGGCGCCUGUAGUCCCAGCUACUCGGGAGGCUGAGGCAGGAGAAUGGCGUGAACCCGGGAGGCGGAGCUUGCAGUGAGCCAGGAUCGCGCCACUGCACUCCAGCCUGGGCAACAGAGCGAGACUCCGUCUCAAAAAAAAGAAAAAAAAAAUUACAAGUGCCCAGUCACAUCUUAAUGUCAGAUAAACAACAAAUGGUUUUGAAAUGUAAGUAUGUUCUGUGCAAUAGUUUUGCUCAUGCCUUCGGAGCCACUCAAGUGUAUCAGUUCAUUCAGCAAAUCCUUCAUCACUUCUUAGACACUGGCGCUUUUGAAGAUCAGGAUCCCUGCCCCACAUAAAAGAAUAAUUAUUAUCUCUGCAAAUAUUGCAGGGGACAUAUUUAUACUAAAAACUUAUUUGUGACCAGCCUGGGCAACAUAGCAAGACCCCAUCUCUACAAAAAAAAAAUAGCCACAUGUGGUGGUGUGCACCUGUAGUCCUAGCUACUCAGGAGGCUGAGGCAGGAGGAUUACUUGAGCCCAGAAUGUUGAGUGAGCCAUGAUCAUGCCACUGCACUCCAGCCUGGGUGGCAGAAUGAGACCCUGUCUCAGAAAACAACAACAACAAAAAACUUUGUUGUUCAUCUGAAACUCACAUUUAACUGGACACCUGUAUUUUAUCCAGCAAUCCUACCUAAAGGGAUCCAUGAAUCCCCUAACAUUGAAUGCACAUGUUCUUGGACAUUUUGGCUAAAUCAGGACCCGUAUUAAGCUCCUGUAAACAGGUAAAGGUGUGUCAGACACACAUAUUGAUUGCUUUAUGGACCUUAGAUGCUGAGUGUAUUAGUCCGUUUACACACUGCUAAUAAAGACAUAGCUGAGACUGGGCAAUUUAUAAAAGAAAGAGGUUUAUUGGGUUUACAGUUCCACAUGGCUGAGGAGGCCUCACAAUCAUGGUGGAAGGCAAGGAGGAGCAAGUCACAUCUUAAUGUGGAUGGCAGCAGGCAAAAAGAGACAACCGAAAGGAGUUUCUCCUUAUAAAACCAUCAGAUCUCAUGAGACUACCACAAGAACAGCGUGGGAGAAACCACCCCCAUGAUUCAGUGAUCUCCCACUGGGUCCCUCCCACAACACGUGGGAAUUAUCAGAGUACAAUUCAAGAUGAGAUUUGGGUGGGGACACAGAGCAAAACCAUAUGACUGAGUUAGACAUUAAAAAAUGUAUAUAGUCACAAAGGGGACUCUGGAUGGAAGGGCCUCUUGAUCCCUUCUUCACUGCUUUCAGAUUGAAAGUUAUUCAGAUGUGUAUGAUGGACUAGGAGGUCGUGACCAAGAGCAGAUAAACUGCCAGAAAGGAUAAGUCCCCUGAGAAGGACUUAGUCCUGGCAGUAUUCAUCACCUUCUAACUGAAGAGCCCUUGGGCCCUAAAUGACCAGCAGAUAUACCCAGAUACUAUGUUGAGGACCUUGGGUGAACCUCUGAGACUUGCUGGCUUCAGAUGCCAGCAUGGCCACAGAGGGGUAGAGCACCAAGUGGGCCCUUGGGGUUCCUGAUUCCAGGACUUGACUCCUAAAUGGCAUUUCUGACCUGCCCUGGUCCAGAGUAGAGCCUUCUGCCCUGACGGUUGAGUCUCUGCCCAGACAGCAUUCACCACACACUGACUUGAGAGGCCGUGGGCCUUAAGGAAACAUCCGUGGAAGUCUGGCAGUACUCCCUGUGGCCUGUGGUGAUGGUGGUUACAGAGUGAGGCUAGUCUCCCUUUGGGAAGGAAAGGGAAGAGUAGGAAGGACUGUGUCUUACGGUUUGAGAGCCAGCUCAGCUGCAAUACAGUAUAACACCAGGUAGACUUCUGAGAUUUUUUACUCUAGUCUCUGACUCCUGGACUGUACAUCUGGACCUACCCAGGGCCUGGGGGAACUCGCCACCCUGAAGGGAAGGACACACGCCUGGAUGGCUUUGCCAUCUGCUAAUUGUAGAGCCCCAGGGCCUUGAGUGAACAUAAGCAGUAGCCAGGGAGUGGUUACAGCAGGUCUUGGGUGAGACCCAAUGCUAUGCUGGCUUCAUCUCUAACCCAGUCCAGUCAUAGUGGGGGUGGCCACAGAGGUACUUCUGUCACUCCACUCCCAGCUUUAUGUGGCUCAGAACAGAGAGAGAAAUUCCAUUUGUUUGGGAGAAAGUAAGGUAAGAGAACAAGAGUCUUUGCCUGGUAAUCCAGAGAAUUUCUCCCAGAUGCUGUCCUUGACCAUCAAGGUGGUACCCCUAAGAGUCUGCAAGAACUUCAGAGAACUACAGUGUUAUUGGGUUCGGGGUAAUCCCUCCCCCAGCUCCAGGCAGCUCAGCACAGAGAGAGAGACUGUUUGUGUUUAAAGAAUGUAAGGGAAGAGAACAAGAGUUUCUGCCUGGUAAUCCAGGGAAUUCCCUUGGAUCUUACCCAUGAACACCAAGGUGGUACCUCUACAAGUCAGCAAGAACCACAGCGUUACUAGGCUUGAGGUGCCCCCUAAAGCAGAUACAGCUUAGAUCACAGUAGUGAAGUCCUUUGAAAUACCUGGAAAGCCUUCCCAAGAAGGACAAGUACAAACAAGCCCAGACACUGGAGACUGAUAAUAUCCAACUCUUCAAUGCCCAGAGAGUGAAGAAUAUCUAUAGCAUCAGCACCAUCCAGGAAAACAUGACCUCACCAAAUGAACUAAAGAAACCACCAGAGACCAGUCCUAGAGAAACAGACAUAUGAGACCUUUCAGACAGAAUUCAAAAUAGCCAUGUUGAAGAAACUCAAAGAAAUUCAAGAUAAUGGAAAGAAGGAAUUCAGAAUUCUAUCAGAUAAACUUAACAAAUAAAUCGAAAUAAUUAAAAAGAAGCAGAAAUUCUGGAGCUGAAAAAUGUAAUUAGCAUACUGAAGAAAGCAUCAGAAUCUUUUUUUGUUUGUUUUUUUUUUUUUUGAGGUAAGGCCAUACUCUGUUACUGAGGCUGGAGUGCAGUGGCAGGAUAUCAGCUCACUACAGCCUCAGCCUCACAGGCUCAAGCAGUCUUCCUGCCUCAGUCCCCUGAGAAGCUGAGACUACAGGUGUGUACCACCAUGCUCGGCUUGUAUUUUUUGUAGAGAUAGAGUUUUGCUAUGUUGCCCAGGCUGGUCUUGAACUCCUGGGCUCAAGUGAUCUAUCUGCUUCAGCCUCUCAAAGUUCUGGGAUUACAGGUGUGAGCCACCACACCCAGCCUCGAGUCUUUUAGUAGCAGAAUUAUUCAAGCAGAAGAAAGAAUUAGUGAGCUUGAAGACAGGCUAUUUGAAAAUACAUGAUCAGGGAGACAAAAGAAAAAGGAAUAAAAAAUAAUGAAGCAUGCCUACAGGAUCUAGAAAAUAGCCUAAAAAGGGCAAAUCUAAGAGUUAUUGACCUUACAGAGGAGGUAGAAAAAGAGAUUGAUGUAGAAAGUUUAUUCAAAGGGAUAAUAACUGAGAACUCCUCAAACUUAGAGAAAGAUACCAAUAUCCAAGUCCAAGAAGGUUAUAGAACACCAAACAGAUUUAACCCGAAGAAGACUACCUCAAAGCAUUCAAUAAUCAAACUCCCAAAGAUCAAGGAUAAAUAAAGGUUUCCCUGACAAAAGCUGAGGAAUUUCAACACCAGACCUGUCCUUCAAGAAAUGCUAAAGGGAAUACUUCAAUGAGAAAGAAAAAGACAUUAAUGAGCAAUAAAUCAUCUGAAGGUACAAAAUCACUGGUAAUAGGACAUAAACAGAAAAAUAGAGAACAUUAUAACACUAUAACCAUGGUGUAGAAACUACUUAUUCUAAGUAGAAAGACUAAAUGAUGAACCAAUCAAAAAUAAUAACUGUGACAACUUUUCAAGACAUAGACUAUAUAAGAUAUAAAUAGAAAUAGCAAAAAGUUAAAAAACAGAGAUGAAGUUAAGACAUAGAGUUUUUGUUAGUUUUUUUUUUUUUGCUUGUUUGUUUAUGUAAAUAGUGUUAAAUUGUUAUCAGGUUAUAAUAAUGGGUCAUAAGAUAGUAUUUGCAAGCCUCAUGUUAGCCUAAAACCAAAAAACAUACAAUGGAUACACAAAAAAUAAAAGGCAGGAAACUAAAUAAUAUCAGAGAAAAUCACUUUCACUAGAGGAAAACACAGGAAGGAAACAAGACCACAGAACAAUUAGAAAACAAAUAAAAUGACAGGAAUAAGUUCUUUUUUUUUUUUUUUUGAGACAGAGUUUCGCUCUUGUUGUCCAGGCUGGAGUACAGUGGCACAGUCUCAGCUCACUGCAACCUUUGCCUCCUGAGUUCAAGCGAUUCUCCUGCCUCAGCCUCCUGAAUAGCUGGGAUUACAGCCAUGCGCCACCAAGCCCAGCUAAUUUUGUAUUUUUAGUAGAGACGGGGUUUCACCAUGUUGGCCAGGCCGGUCUCGAACUCCUGACCUCAUGAUCCACCCAUCUCAACCUCCCAAAGUGCUGGGAUUACAGGUGUGAGCCACCGCUUCUGGCAAGAAUAAGUUCUUAUCAAUGGUAAUAUCAAAUGUAGAUGGACUAAACUCUUCAAUAAAAAGACACAGAGUGGCCGAAUGGGUGAAAAAACAAGACCCAUUGAUAUGUUGCCUAUAAGAAACACACUACACCUAUAAAGACACACAUAAACUAAAAAUAAAGGGUUGGAAAAAGAUAUUCCAUGCCAAUGGAAACCAAAAAAAGAGCAGGAGUAGUCAAUGGGAUAUCAUCUCACUCCAGUUAAAAUGGCUUCUAUGCAAAAGACAGACAAUAACAAAUGUUGGCAAGGAUGUAGAGAAAAGGGAACCCUCAUACACUGUUGGUGGGAAUGUAAAUUAGUACAACCACUAUGGAGAAUGGUUUGGAGGUUCCUCAGAAAACUAGAACUAGAGCUACCAUGUGAUCCAGCAAUCCCAUUGCUGGGUAUAGACCCAAAAAAACGGAAAUCAGUAUUUCAAAGAGAUACCUGCACUCCAAUGUUUGUUGCAGCACUAUUCACAAUAGCUAAGAUUUAGAAGCAACCUAAGUGUUCAUCAACAAAUGAAUGGAUAAAGAAAAUGUGUUACAUAUACACAAUAGAGUACUAUUUAGCCUUAAAACAAACAAGAUCCAGGCCAGGCGCAGUGGCUCCCACCUGUAAUCCCAGCACUUUGGGAAGCCGAGGUGGGCGGAUCACAAGGUCAAGAGAUCAAGACCAUCCUGGCCAACAUGGUGAAACCCUGUCUCUACUAAAAAUACAAAAAUUAGCUGGGCAUGGUGGUGCACGCCUCUAGUCCCAGCUAUUUGGGAGGCUGAGGCAGGAGAAUCACUUGAACGUGGGAGGCAGCGGUUGCAGUGAGCUGAGAUUGCGCCACUGCGCUCCAGCCUGGUGACAGAGCAAGACUCCAUCUCAAAAAAAAAAAAAAAGAUCCUGUCAUUUUCAGCAACAUGGAUGGAACAGGAAAUCAUUAGUGUUAACUGAAAUAAGCCAGGCACAGAAGUACAAACAUUACAUGUUCUCACUUAUUUGUCGGAUCUAAAAAUCAAAACAAUUGAACUCAUGGUCACAGAGUGUAGAAGGAUAGUUACCAGAGGCUGGGAAGGGUAGUCGGGGGUUGGGAAGGAGAUGGGGAUGGUUAAAGGCUACCAAAAACUAGAAAGAAUGAAUAAAGCCUACUAUUUGAUAGCACAACAGGGUGACUGUAGUUAAUAAUAACAAUUGUACGUUUUUAAAUAACCAGAAGAUCGUAAUUGGAUUGUUUGUAACACAAAGGAUAAAUGCUUGAGGAGAUGAAUACCCCAUUCUCCAUGAUGUGAUUGUUUCACACUGCAUGCCUGUAUCAAAACAUCUCAUGUAUCCCAUAAAAAUAUAUAUACUAUGUACCCACAAAAAUUAAAAAUUUAAAUCUUUUUUUGGGCCAGGUGCAGUGGCUUAUGCCUGUAAUCCUAGCUACUUGGGAGGCUGAGACAGGAGAAUUGCUUGAACCUGGGAGGCAGAGGUUGCAGUGAGCCAAGAUGGUGCCACUGCCAUCCAGCCUGGGAGACUCCAGAGUGAGACUCCGUCUAAAAUGUAGAUAUAUUUCCACAUCAAGGGAUGCUUAUUUAAAAUGGGAGAAUGAUAGGGAAGCAAUUCUAAAGAAUAACCCUCAUUUAUAGCCUCUAGUCCCAAAACAGUCUCACACUACAUGUCAGUUUUCUUUCUAAGUCAUCAAUCAGAUCAGAUCAGAGUACUCUCCUGCCCUAAAGCUCGCAGAUAUUCUGAAGAAGUGCCCAGACAAGAUUAUUACUGGGUGAAGUGGGGAAUAAGUGAAAGGGUAUCACCAGAGACAGGUUAACUUUGAAGGGAAAGCAGUAAUUUUGGAUAUAAUAGCCAAAGAGGGCAUUGGUUAAAAGGUGACGUAUAAACCAAACGUGAACCAAGUGCCCAGAGCGUUGGAACUCAUAGCCCUACCCUCCACUUCCAGGGAGAGAAGAGGGACUAAAGGCCACCAAUGGCCAAUGACUUAAUGAGUCGUGACUGUGUAAUGAGGCCUCUAUAAAAACCAGAAGGAUCGAGUGCAGGGGGCUUCCAAGAAGUUGAAGAAAAAUACAUCUACGUGUCUAAAAGGCAGUUCACCCCAACUUCAUGAGGAUGGAAGUUUUUACACUUGGGACCCUUCUGGACCUCCUCACCCUAUGUAUCUCUUAAUCUGGCUGUUCAUUUUGUCAACCUAAAAUAGUUAAGAGGGUGAGAAUCUAGUUUAUUUAUGUAUUUAUUGAGACAGGGUCUUGCUGUAUUGUCCAGGCUGGAGUGCUCAAGUAAUCCUCCCACUUUGACCUCCCAAAGCACUGGCAUUACAGGUGUGACCCACCUCACCCAGCCAGAGUCUGGUUUAAAGAGAGUUUAUUCAAGCAUAGAGUUUAAGGACAGCCUCCUGGGAAACACAGAUUCCAAAGGAUGGAAGUCAGUGUUUUGUGAAUGUGAAGUUUGGAUUGUUUAUAUAGACAGAUUGGGGAAGCUUAACAGAAUUUCAACAUCUGUCUCUCCAGGGUCUUAUUUUUUGUGUAGGCUGUAGUCCAGUGGUACAAUCAUAGCUCACUGCAGCUUCUAACUGCCGGGCUCAAGGGAUCUUCCUACCUCAGCCUCCUGAGUAUCUGGGAUUACAGGUGCCAACCACUACAUCCAGCUCUAUAUAAGGCUUAAUGCAUAGUUACAACAAUCUGAUUAGUCAGGUGGUCUUUUUCUUUCAGGAAAGGUGUAUUUAAUACUACACACUGAAGAUGUAGCAGUCGUGGGGUCUUUUGCACCCUCUGUUCUGAGUUAGGUACACAACAAUAAAGGAGGCAGUUAAUCUAUAACAAAGAUGAGUGAUUGGAAGGGGAGGGGCUGUAGUUUCCCUUAGUCAUUUAUAAAACAAGAACAAUGAGGAAGAGAAUUAAUCUAUAAUCUAAGAAGCAGAACUUGCGAACUUGCCAUGUGACUCGGUCUCCAGGACUUAACUUCUUACGUGGCAUAAUAAAUUUAGAGGGUCCUGUUUUUAUUUUCUUUUACAAUAUGUACCCUUUAAAAUAUCCUGGCCCGGCACGGUGACUCAUGCCUGUAAUCCUAGCACUUUGGGAGGCUAAGGCAGGUGGACAACUUGAGGUCAGGAGUUUGAGAUCAGCCUGACCAACAUGGUGAAACCCCAUCUCUACUAAAAAAAAAUACAAAAAUUAGCUGGGCAUGGUGGCAGGCACCUGUAAUCCCAGCUACUCGGGAGGCUAAGGUAGGAGAAUCGCUUAAACCAGGGAGUUGGAAGUUGCAGUGAACCAAGAUCGCGCCACUGCACUCCAGCCUGGGCAACAAGAGUGAGACUUUGUCUCAAUUAAAAAAAAAAAUCCUUUAUAAUAAACUGGUAAAUGUAAGUAAGCAUUCCCCUGAGCUGUGAGCCACUCUAGCAAAUUAAUCAAACCCAAGAAGAGCGACAUGAAAACCCUGAUUUAUAGCCAGUCCGUCAGAAGCACAGGUAAAACAUCCUGGGGCUUGCAAUUGGCAUUUGUUGGCAUCAAAAGUUGGGGGCAGUCUUGUGGGACUGAGCCUUCAACCUGUGGGAUCUAAUGCUUUCUCCAAGUAGAUACUGUCUGAAUUGAACUGGAGGAUACCCAGCUGGUGUCUGCUGCAGAAUUGAUUGAUUGCUUGAUGUGUAGGGGGAAAAAAUCCACAUAUGCUGGUGUUGCAAGCAUGUUAUGAGGGUACAGUAGGAAAAACUAAGUUUGUUUUUCUGCUCAUACAUACCCUGACAAAGCCCAAGCCUCGUGGAAGGCUACAUGUAAACACUCUGGUCAGCAGCUCCAGAGCACAGCCCUUGAGUCAUCCCAGCCCAGCUACCAGAUGUUUAAGUGAAGAACCUGUAGACGAUUCCAACUGUAAGACAUUUGAGUCACCCUUUAUUUUGUCCCACUGAACCUAUAGCUUGGGUCACCCCAAAAGUGGAGGCAAGAAUGUUCCCACAAAGUGCUCCAAACCAUCUCAAGAUGGGGCUGAUUGGGAUUCACAAGAAAGAAGCACAAAAUGCCAGGGUGAUCAGUCCAAAGCAAUUAUUAGUGGAACUUAGAUGCAGAGUGCUGCCUCAUAUCCUCAUGACAGAGGGCAAGAGAAAAAGAAUGUUCUACCCGGGUAUGUCUGCAGCAAAGGGGUCAAAGCAUAGAGUUUACAUGAGGGUUUUAGGAAUUUGACUCAGUGCUGGGGCUGGUUUCUUUCUAGUAAACCUAAUUACCUUUAUCAGGGCCUGGGGACAUUCAAGGCCACAGUUUGAAUUCAAGCUUGCUGGGAAAAACAUACAGCUGGCAGAAUCACAGAGUGGUCAAGACACUCUGAUUUUUGGUCAGGACACAGAAAGUGGGGGAAACUGGGAGACCCUAUACCUUCAGUCUUCCUAGAUGAGGGCCCAGCAUCAUGGAGCUGAAACAAGCAUCCCUGCUGUGCUCUGUUUGAAUUCCUUACUCACAAAAGCAUAAUAAAAUGGUAGUUCAUUUAUAUCACAAAUGUUGGGGGUGGUUUGUUAUGCCAAAAUAGAUAACUGGAACACCCCAUCCCAAUCCUCUAAAGUUCCCAGGAACUCAUUGUCUUAGACUCCAUAAUUUUCAGGGAUACAUAUCACUAAGCAUGCGGAUACAUUCAUGAAAAUGAAAAUUCAGGCCGGGUGCAGUGGCUUACGCCUGUAGUCCCAGCACUUUGGGAGGCUGAGGCGGGUGGAUCAUUCAAGGUCAGGAGUUCAAGACCAGCUUGGCCAACAUGGUGAGACCCUGUCUCUACUAAAAAUAUAAAAAUCAGCCGGUCAUGGUGGCGCAUGCCUGUAAUCCCAGCUACUUGGGAGGCCGAGGGGCGAGAAUCACUUGAACCUGGGAGGCAGAGGUUGCAAUGAGUCGAGAUCGCACCGCUACACUCCAGCCUGGGUAACAAAAUGAGACCCCAUCUCAAAAAGAAAAGAAAAGAAAAUGAUAGGAUUCGUAGCCUAUACUAGAC
rnacentral:lncRNA from 1 species